GUCUCGCCCAUCUCCGCCGCGGUACGGCGCGCGGGCGGGGACAAACCUCCUGUCCCGGCGCUGCAGCUCGCCCCGCCGCCGCCGCCGCCUCCUCCGGGGGCCCGCGCAGAGAGCGUCCUCUAGGAGGAGCGAGGCCGCGCGCUGGCGGGAGGAGCGGGGCCUCUGAGCGUGCACUGCCUCGUCGCGGGCUGUUAGCACAUCAGACGGCCGCGGAGGCGGUGGGCGCGGUGCCUCUGCCCUGUUCCUGGCGCCUUUGCCCUGCUCCCGAAGGGGAGGAGCGGGCUCGCGGGAGCGCCCAGCGGUUCACAGCCUGCUCGCGCCUCCUCGCACCUUCCCCGUGGCCCGCAGAGCCAGUCCGCGGCGACGCGCACGGCAGGGGCUGGAGGCCCGGGGUCGGGAUCGCUGCGCCCGGCCAGCCCCCUCCGCGAUUUCCAGAGAAAACCGAACGCCCGCUAGGGCCACGCUCCCGCGUGGAAAACCUGUGGAGAAGAGGUUGCUGUCACUCAAGGACAAGCCAAAUUCUUAGGACACCCUCCCCACUCUUCUGUGUAAGAGAAGGGCAAGAGGACAUAGAUGCCGGCCCAAAGCACACCCGAGGAGUCGUGAGGACCCCUGGCAACUGACCUUUCAAAGGAAGACAGAAUCAAAGGACACGAUGUGGGAGAGGGCGGCAUUGUGGCACCACGUUGAGAUCUGGGGCGCCGCUCAGGCUGCGGGCACUGGGCGGAGCAGCACCUGGGGAAGCUGCCGGGUGCGGUGCUUGGGUCACGGCCCUCCGGGGAGGCCACCGGGUGCGGUGCGGGGCAGGGCCUUACGGGGUGGCCGGCGGGUGCGGAAGUUGCUGCCAGGGGAGGGUGUGCUCAUCCUUGAAGAUCUGAGUCAAAAUAGGCAGUGUCAUCCUCUUCCAUUCCCCAGCACCUAAUGUGGCUGCCCCAAACGCCGCCGAGCUUGAGCUCCCUUCUAAAGCCACAGCAGGCAGCAAGGCGGAGAGGAGCCCCGGAGGCGCGAGGUCACUGGGGGGCGGGGAGGGGGGUUUCGGGGCACAGGGCAGCGGUGACUGCCCGCAGGGGCAAGCCCGGGCUUCCCGCCUGCGGCGGCUCCCCCACCAAGUGGGGCCUGAGACAGGAGGAGCUGAGGUGGGGGCGCCUCCCUGAGAAACGCCACCUCUCAUCUGGAGCUCCCCAAAGGUGAGAGGAAGACGAUGGAAAACCUGGGGCACGAGGGCUCUCACUGUGGGGUUCAGCCAUCGCCGAGCCAUGGGGCCCCGCAGACAGCCCCGGCUCUCCUCUUUACCCCAGAGUCAGGUACCAGCCUCUGGCCCGGGAACCAAGCCUCAGGUGCUUGCAGGGCUAGAAUGUAUGGUUCUGAGAACUGCGUGGUGCUGGAUCAGAACCACGUGGGGCCUGUAUUAUGUAUUUCAAAACUUCACGCUUCCCUGCAGCCUCAACACCGAAAACAGGCAGUGAGCCGCCCUCUCCCCCACCCCGCCCAGGUGACCAGAUGCCCCAGCGUGGUGAGCUGGCCCUGCCACAGUUCCCCUUCCUGCCCUCCCGGACUGUGACCUAGUGACAGAGAUUCUUUGCUCUACAAAACUAGUCAGGCUCCUGAAUCUCCUCCAAGGCCCAUCUGCACACUUCCUUAUAAAAUCCAGUUUUAGCAAAGAGCCUUGCUAAGUCACUUUAGCAAGAACCACCCCCUAAUAUGUGAUCACCCCCAUUAUUUGACCAGGUUCCCCGUCUCUCACCAUCCCCUAGAUGAUGUCAGAUCAACCUGGCCUGUGUUCAGCAAGAAGCCUAUUAGGUAAGAUUAGUCAGUACCCACCUUCCCCUUCAUGUUAUCUCUUAGUAAUUUUCCAUCCAGCCACCCCCACCUUGCUUCUUGGCUAUCCAUUUCCACUUGUAUUGGGAAUUAAGCUCAAUCUUUCUCCCUACACUGCAAAAUCCCAUCGUGGUGGGCCCCAUACCAUUAAGGUCCUCAAUAAAGUCAGCCUUACCGUGUGCUGUGAA